AUAUCUCUCUGUACGGGAAGGAUGAGAAGCUUCGACCAAGGUUCGAUUCGAGCGCAGCGAGAAAGCGUUGCCGCAGGCAACGACCCGAAGGGCGAAGCGCGCAGCGCUGAGUCAUCCUUCCCCCACCA
rnacentral:sRNA from 2 species